GUGCUGGCUUCAGCAGCACACAUACUGAAGUUGGAAUGAUACAGAGAAGAUUAGCAUGGCCCCUGCACAAGGAUGACAUGCAAAUUGGUGAAGCAUUCCAUAUUUUA
ensembl:snRNA U6 U6 spliceosomal RNA